AACCAUCCUAUGGUAAAAUAUCAUGUUAAAUAUUUCUUUGUUUGUUAUUUUAAGCGCACUGUUCUCUCCUUCGAAAGGCUACGAAACAUUCCGCCGAAUACACCGUGUUACUAAACACAUUUUAACUGUAUGGUAACAUCGAACCGAAGAUUGACUUGGUACUUUUACUGGUAACUUAUUAACGCUAUGAUUCGCUCAACGAAUCGAGUCAGUCAAGAAACUUCCGUGGUAGGUAACUCCUGGUAGAUGCAGUUAUUUUUACUAUCUCUAUAAGAACUCUUUCGAUACUGUUACUCUUUAGUUCUUUUUUAUAGAUAUUUCAUAUAACGUUCUUUCUAUUUGAACUCAUAUAAUUUCACUUGCUUUUUCCAAUUAGCGAUAUCUGAAAGAAUUAGAAAGUAGCAAAAAGGAUUGUAUAUCUUGCAGAAUACACAAUCAAAGCACUGUUUAUUUUGUAUUGUGUUUUAUAUAAAUUGAUGUAUCCAAUAUAUCUCAGUACAAAAAUUA